rnacentral:ncRNA from 20 species
UUAUGUUGCAAGUACAUGAUAGUACAUUUGCUACAGUAAGGGACCGAUAAUAGUUAUUAAGCGUACUAAAUAAGUGCGCCGGCCUUACUGGGAGGGUCUCCGUACAUUGAGGCCUUUUUUUGUUGCCA